UAAGCCAGAUCCUGGAGAAGAAAGAAU
rnacentral:piRNA from 1 species